GCAGUAAAGUCACUUUAUUUGGUACAUUAAAGUUCCAAACCUGAAUUUAAUUUCCAUUUGACUGCAAUCCUCGGUAUUAUAUGUUCUGUCUCUACAAAGAAGAAACGCAGUCCACAAAGGACACAGACCUUAUUGAGCUUAGGGAAAAACAAUGUAUAUAGUUCUCUUCUAAUUGCAUAAAUAUAGUCUUCUCUCUCUCACUAGUUUUCAUAUAUAAGCUCUCGACUGAGUUCCGCUCGGUGUCCAAAACUUUCAUAUCUAAACCAUGACUGCGCCAGUGCCUUCUCUCAUCUACCGACGCGGCGGGGGUCUCCUCCCGCCUGGAGCUUGAUCUUCCUCGUCGGAUUCGACGUCUCCAUACUGCCACAGCCGCAGCCUUUCCUUCUUCGCCUUCUCCUGGAACUGUUCCAGGUUCUCGAGAGCUGUCUUCCUCUCCUUGGUGUCCCAUCUCUUGCCCCUUUCAAGUCGGGCAAGCCCUUCCUGCAAACAUUAGCAUGAGCAUGUUAGGGAUGAAGUUGACUAUUCCCAAACACAUAAAUAUGCAUCUAAGCUGGGAUAGGAAAUAAUGCUAAUAAUACUGAAUUCAUUGAAUAUAACUCGCACGUCGACCUCAAAAAGUAACUCAGACGUCAGAUAAACCAGAGUAGCUGGUAACUGAGACGAUGUUUCCAUAACCCUCAGAAUCCAUAUACACCACAAAACAUACUUAAGGUAGGUAGGAACUAGCGGAUAACAAUCCUAAUGUAUAGCAUUUCCGAAGCUACAUUUCCAAAAAAAACAUGGAGGGUCUAAACACUACUGUAUAAUUUUCAUGAUCAAUAUUAAAAAAAAUAUGACUAAUUCUGAGUGAUUGUGUAAAACUACUCAAACUGCUUAAGCAAUAUCCUCCAAACUAUUUUCAUAGCAAACUAUUUCUAUAAAGAAAGCUCCUCAUGGAAAGAUCAAAGCAGACCAUGCAGAACCCCGCCAGCCAGUAAACAAAGCUAACCAGCAAUUCAUAAUGCAUAACAGUUAAUAGCACAAACCUCGAGCAUGGCAGCAUUGAUGCUGGAUUCUGUCUCUGGAUCAACAAGAGUCACAAUGAGUACAGGUCCAGUGCCUUGUCCCUUCACUUUACCACCAGUAGUGUCGCGCUCUUCGAUCAUUGCCCGGUAUUGUUUUGAACUGCUCAGCAAGCAUUCGCUGAGAUACUCUGCUGCUUCCUGACCAUUAUCAUCCUCCAGACCAGGCACCUUUAUGAAGGCAAGGCUGCAGAGCUGAGCAAGAGGAGGAGAGGAGGAUACUGAUGGGUCUGCAGGCCGGAUGCGGUUGUAAGGAACCACUUCUUGGUUGCCAAAAUCAAUGUAGAAUACUUCAAAUUUGUCAUCUACAGACUCUACAGCUCCUCGGGGUCCAUUAACAAUCUGCAGGAAUUAUGAUGGAAAUUCUCCUUAGGAUACUGUACGAUUUUAUUAUAAACAAAUAUGUAAAACUAAUUAGUCAUCAUGAGAAGAACAAAUAUUAGCAUGUAGCAUUGCACUGAAGUGGGACAUCAUGCGCGUAUUUUCAACAAUACUGUCAACUUGGCAAGAUACUGCUAAUAGUAUUGUCAUGUGCACUGUUAGGUACUCAAGUCUGACACUCGGCAUGUAUCACUUCACCUAAAUGAUCCUAACAAGCACACCAAUUCUUAAGGUCCAGCAGCUUAAGUAGAAACUGAUAUUUGUUAAAUGCGUCAAGUUAAACGGCUAAUGACAGGUCUAAGUAUCUAUUAAAGAUAUUGCUGAAAUCAGAGUCUGAAUUUAAUAGCCAAUCUAUGACCUUGAUACAAGAAUAAUUAGUUAGUUUUAAUAUGAGUGAAUUAACUGUAGUCAUACCAUGGCUCUAUUCCAAGAGUUGUCGAGGCUAAACUGAGCAAGGACUAUCUCUCCCUUCCCAGGAUUAAAAGCACCAAUGACUGGUGCCUCCUUAAGUUUCAAGGAUGCAAGCUGUUGUUGGAUGGAAGCUACUCUCUGGUCACCUACUGUCUGGGCAUAGAACUUUCCACCACCAAGAACUUCAGUAGCAACAACCUGAACUCAGGUAACAGAGCCAUGUCAGCACUGUUUUAGUAACGACAAAAAUCAACUACUUCCAAUGUUUUUUCAUCAACGAACCUUCAGAAUUUCCUUUUGUUUGGAUUCAGAGGCCGACCCAUUAGUAACUUCUUCACCCUCGACAUAGUUCUCCCAUAUCUUGAUAAAUAGGUGUCAGUAACAAAAAAAAACAAUUAUGUACUUCCUAAAAGAUGUAGCAGUAUAACAGGUUACCUUCAGUUUCUGCUGC
rnacentral:lncRNA from 1 species